UAGCCUGCCCACUGAUAUUUAUUUAAAGGCCGCGGUAUACUGACCGUGCGAAGGUAGCAUAAUAAUUUGUCUCUUAAUUGGAGGCUUGUAUGAAUGGUUGGACAAAAAAUAAGCUGUCUUUUUUAUAUUAUUUGAAUUUAGCGUUUAAGUGAAAAGUCUUAAAUAUAAUAGGGGGACGAUAAGACCCUAUAAAUCUUUAUAUUUUGAUUAUUUUAAUUAGGCAUUAUAAUUAAAUAUUUUAAUUAAUUUAAUUAAAAUAUUUUGUUGGGGCGACAUAAGUAUAAGAAGUAACUGCUUAUAAAGUAAAAUUAAUAAUAUUUAUUGUGUAGUAUAAGUGAUCCUGUAAUACAGAUAAAAGAAUAAGUUACUUUAGGGAUAACAGCGUAAUUUUUUUUGAGAGUCCUUAUCGAAAAAAAAGAUUGCGACCUCGAUGUUGAAUUAAAGAUCCUCGAUGUUGUAGCAGAUAUUAGAGGAGGUCUGUCAACGUAAUUGUAACAGCUCACGCUUUUAUUAUAAU
rnacentral:rRNA from 1 species